AAUCAUUUUGGCUUUGUGAAUUUAAAGGGGUUAAAAGCUAAACUUGAUCAUCGUCGUCAAUAAAAUGACUGAUGGCCAAAUAAGAUAGCUAUAUAAAAGAGAAAGGGAUGCUAUUGUAAUCUAACCAGGGUGACAAAACCCCAUUUAAUACAUAAAUAGGCUUUAAUGCCAAAGGUUACACAGUGUAUAUAUAAUUGGAUUUAGAAAAUCCCAUUUAAAAAGGGAUGAAGUGUAACCUAAAAGAAAAACUUAAAUAAUGCAUACUUUCUAGGAAAAGAACCAGGUUGCAAAAAACUGAAAAUUAAAUGUUCAGUUAAAUUUACAUGAGGACUAAUAAAGUUCCUGUUCACAAUGGUAGGCAAGAGCCUAACUAUAAGAAAGGGAGUAAGGUGGGCCUUCCUCAUUAUGCACACUCUGGCUGGUAGGUAGACACAAGUCCCCUGCCCUGGCCUAAAUUUAUGCCAAAUACAUAAUCUAAGUUGUGGUAGAAGACUGGAAUGUGGAAAAUUCUACUCAUGAUUUAGGGAUAAAGAAAUGACAUGUUGAAGAAAUAAAUCUAACCCAUAAUAUGAAUGGUUUGUAUUAGGUUUAAAGAUAAAGACAGACUGAUGAACCAAGUAACAACUAACAAUUUGUCUGCAUUUUGGGGUUUUUACAAAGCUCUUCUUGUCGCUGAAGCUGCCAUGAGGUGAACAUCAUUCCUCUGCCUUGCCUUUCCACCACAUUGUUCUAGCAUGGAGCCAACCAACCAUGGACUCAAUUCUUGAAAACCAUAAGCCAAAAUAAACCUCUCCUCCUUUAAGUUGCACAUAUCAGGUAUUUUGAUUAUGCCUUUUGAUUCAUUAUAUAUUUUGUUAAGUGUUCCUUUAAUGUUUCAGGAAAUUCAACAGGACAGUAUAAAAAGAUUAACUGAAGGUCUAAUAAAAGCAUUAUUUUUAAAAAUACUAAGUUGAGCUUGAAACUUAAAGAAAAGCUAGAUAUUGAAGCUGACGAAGUUAAAAUUUAAAAAUAACUUUAUUAAUUAAAACAAAAAAGUCAGAAUUUGUGUGUUCACAAAAUACCUUAGACAUUAAAAGCUUUGUAGCAGUCAUAAAGCAAACCCUCAGGAUAAAAAAA